rnacentral:lncRNA from 10 species
GCCUCCGCCUCCGGCCCGCCCUCGUCUCCGCCCCUGCGGGGGCUGCUCGUUAGGCCCCGCCCUGCACCCCCGUCACCCACGCCGCGCGACCCGCAGCCGCCGCCAGGGCCCUCUGCUGCCGCGGAGGUGCUAGGACAGCCGCGGACGGCCCGCCUCCCCGUGCCCCGGGCCUCGAGGCCAAUAAAAAGCUCGCCCCUCCAGCUCACCGGGUCCGACGGGUACGGUACAAAGUGCUGUCUCUCGCCACAGCCACCUUUGUGACAAUAAAAGCAAUAAGGCUAAUGUCCAUGGGGCGCUCACGGUGAGCUUUAGCUUUAUGAUAAAGAUUGGCCUGUUACCUCGUUUAAUCUUCACAACUGCCCCAUCAACUAUGUACUCUUACUGUCCCCAGUUUAUGCAUGAACAGAGAAAGCUGAGAUACGGAGACUAGUGAUCCGUCGAGGUAAUAAACGGCACAGGUGGGGUUUGAACUCCAUCAGUUUGAUUGCAGAGGCCUGGAACAACCCUACAGCCUUCUCUCAGAUCUUUUCUGGACCUUUUUCUAUGCGCUUUGCACCUAGGACGUGAGGCUGCCAAGCUUGGUAUUCAAUAAAUAUUGAUGGAUGAAGGAACAAUGGAAGAAAGGAGUGCAUGGGUAAACAAAUGACAAAUAUGUCAAAGCACGGAUGCAGAUUCUUAGAAUGGGCUAAUGCUGUUUUCUGCUGGAUUUUUGGAUGUGUACAAACGAGUUCUCUCACAAUACAGAUCCACAGUGUCUGGGUCAGAGGAGAACUGAUGCUCCGCAUGGCAUUUUACCAUCCUGCCUGCCUGCCUGGGGCCCUGGGCCCACAGGCUUUGGGGAGAGUGUAUGGCCAGGCUGCAGCCUUCCUGGGAUAAAGCUCUGCCUUUUAGUCUCUUAUCCUACUUUUUAGAAGCCCUUUAAGGUCUUUGUUAAAGGAAAUCUAAUGUGAAGAAUUCCAGGAGAACUGGAUAAGCCUGACUAUGGGUGGGCGUGACUGAAUUACUUCCCGGGCUGGCUAAGGAAGGCCUCCCCCGAAGUGCAUCGGAAGCCUGCAGCUUCUCCUUAUGGCCACUGGAGGGCACUUGGACCAUGAAAUACCAGAUCGUCUCGGCGUCCCAGGUCUUUGGAAAUGUGUGAUUCAAUUCAGCAAACGUUUCAAAAUCAUCACUAUAAAGAUAGCGCUUUUGUGUUGAACAUCCAAUAUGGCGCUAAACACCUUAUAUAUAUGUGUGCGUGUAUAUAUGAACUUGCUUAAUAUUAACUACAAUUGUUGUGAGUUACUUAGGCUAUUUAGGAAAAAAAAAUCAAGGCUUAAAGAAGUCAAAGUACUUACCCAAGAUUGCUUAGCUAAAUAAAAUUUGGGAGUAAGGACUUGAACUCAAGCCCUUGGGCACCAACCAUAAGCAAUAGGUGCACACAAAGCUGAAAUGAGGACUCUCUUAUAAGCAGGAAGACGCACACACCACACAAAUAUUAUUGUUCCUCAACAAUUUACACAUUCUGAAAUUGGAAGAUGACUUACAAUUUGUACAUUACAUGGUAAUGUUUCUUUUUUCCCUUGAAAUGAUGUUAUUAAAUAAAUGAAGUGUCUCACAAU